AGUGAACGCUGGCGGUAGGCCUAACACAUGCAAGUCGAACGGCAGCACAGUAAGAGUUUGCUCCUACGUGUGGCGAGUGGCGGACGGGUGAGGUAUACAUCGAAAUCUCCAUUUUCGUGGGGGAUAGCGUAGGGAAACUUACUCUAAUACCACAUACGCCCUGCGGGUGAAAGCAGGGGCUCUUCGGCCCUUGCGCGAUUGUAUGAGCCGAUGUCGGAUUAGCUAGUUGGCGGGGUAAAGGCCCACCAAGGCGACGAUCCGUAGCUGGUCUGAGAGGAUGAUCAGCCACACUGGAACUGAGACACGGUCCAGACUCCUACGGGAGGCAGCAGUGGGGAAUAUUGGACAAUGGGCGCAAGCCUGAUCCAGCCAUACCGCGUGGGUGAAGAAGGCCUUCGGGUUGUAAAGCCCUUUUGUUGGGAAAGAAAAGCAUCAGGUUAAUACCCCGGUAGUCUGACGGUACCCAAAGAAUAAGCACCGGCUAACUUCGUG
rnacentral:rRNA from 1 species